GUAGGGAAGAGAUUUGAUCUGUUCGUUUUAAGACUAAGUGUUUUUUCAAAAAGUAGAAGCGAUUUCCAGAUGGUGGGAAUGAGCCAAACAAAGGUGCAAAGACAGGAAAUUGUCUUGUGUUUGGGGAACACAAACCAGCCGAGUGGUUGGGCUAGAACUUACAAAUACCUGGAGGAUUUCAGCCAUGGGAAGAAGACUAACCACGCUCAUUCUGGGUCAAGUGCAAAAUGCUGGAGGAUGACAUGUUGGCUUCACCUGGGCCAGGUGCCCACCCUGGAACUAAUCAACUGGAACCAGGGACAAGGGGCAUGUUUUAGUAAUGUGGUAGCUCCCUAUGGAUCCAGGAAAGGACAGGCAGUGGGUAGGAAGGAAGGAGGGGCUACCAGGACACAAUGGCGACUCAGCAAAGGAGACUAAGGAGCCGCAGCAGAGAAUGAGGAAACCCAAGAGAGUGUCCUGGAAGUCAAGUGAGGUGCUCAACUAUGCCAAAAACUGACCGUAACAUGAG
rnacentral:lncRNA from 1 species